UCUGACCAGCCAAGUCGCGUGAAGGAUGACGGCCCUACGGGUUGUAAACUUCUUUUGUACGAGAGUAAAAAUAGGGACGUGUCCCUUAUUGCAAGUAUCGUACGAAUAAGCAUCGGCUAACUCCGUGCCAGCAGCCGCGGUAAUACGGAGGAUGCAAGCGUUAUCCGGAUUUAUUGGGUUUAAAGGGUGCGUAGGCGGGAUGAUAAGUCAGCGGUGAAAGUUUGAGGCUCAACCUUAAAAUUGCCGUUGAAACUGUCUUUCUUGAGUAUAUUUGAAGUAGGCGGAAUUCGUGGUGUAGCGGUGAAAUGCAUAGAUAUCACGAAGAACUCCAAUUGCGAAGGCAGCUUACUAAACUAUAACUGACGCUGAAGCACGAAAGCGUGGGUAUCAAACAGGAUUAGAUACCCUGGUAGUCCACGCCGUAAACGAUGAUUACUAGCUGUUUGUGAUAUUACAAUAAGCGGCUAAGCGAAAGCGAUAAGUAAUCCACCUGGGGAGUACGCCGGCAACGGUGAAACUCAAAGGAAUUGACGGGGGCCCGCACAAGCGGAGGAACAUGUGGUUUAAUUCGAUGAUACGCGAGGAACCUUACCCGGGCUUGAAAUGCAUCUGACCGGCUUGGAAACAAGCCUU
rnacentral:rRNA from 1 species